GACGAACGCUGGCGGCGUGCUUAACGCAUGCAAGUCGAACGGAAAGGCCCUGCUUUUGUGGGGUGCUCGAGUGGCGAACGGGUGAGUAACACGUGAGUAACCUGCCCUUGACUUUGGGAUAACUUCAGGAAACUGGGGCUAAUACCGGAUAGGAGCUCCUGCUGCAUGGUGGGGGUUGGAAAGUUUCGGCGGUUGGGGAUGGACUCGCGGCUUAUAAGCUUGUUGGUGGGGUAGUGGCUUACCAAGGCUUUGACGGGUAGCCGGCCUGAGAGGGUGACCGGCCACAUUGGGACUGAGAUACGGCCCAGACUCCUACGGGAGGCAGCAGUGGGGAAUAUUGCACAAUGGGCGGGAGCCUGAUGCAGCAACGCCGCGUGCGGGAUGACGGCCUUCGGGUUGUAAACCGCUUUCGCCUGUGACGAAGCGUGAGUGACGGUAAUGGGUAAAGAAGCACCGGCUAACUACGUG
rnacentral:rRNA from 1 species